rnacentral:rRNA from 1 species
ACUGAGACACGGCCCAGACUCCUACGGGAGGCAGCAGUAGGGAAUCUUCCGCAAUGGACGAAAGUCUGACGGAGCAACGCCGCGUGAGUGAUGAAGGUUUUCGGAUCGUAAAGCUCUGUUGUUAGGGAAGAACAAGUGCCGUUAGAAUAGGGCGGCACCUUGACGGUACCUAACCAGAAAGCCACGGCUAACUACGUGCCAGCAGCCGCGGUAAUACGUAGGUGGCAAGCGUUGUCCGGAAUUAUUGGGCGUAAAGCGCGCGCAGGCGGUCUCUUAAGUCUGAUGUGAAAGCCCACGGCUCAACCGUGGAGGGUCAUUGGAAACUGGGGGACUUGAGUGCACAACAGGAAAGUGGAAUUCCACGUGUAGCGGUGAAAUGCGUAGAUAUGUGGAGGAACACCAGUGGCGAAGGCGACUUUCUGGUCUGUAACUGACGCUGAUGCGCGAAAGCGUGCGGAGCAAACAGGAUUACAUACCCUGGUACUCCACGCCAUACACGAUGAGUGCUAAGUGUUAGAGGGUUUCCGCCCUUUACUGCUGCAUCUAACGCAUUAAGCACUCCGCCCGGGGAGUACGGUCGCAAGACUGAGACUCAAGAUG